rnacentral:misc_RNA from 1 species
UGUUUAAUGGAUUGGAGUUUUUCUGUGAUGAGUUGGUUUUUUGGGCCCCCAAGCCUUUCUCUAGUGUGUUGAAUUUAAUGUAUUGUCGGGCCAUGUAAUGCAACAGUUACAAUUAGGAGAGAGAGGGAGAGAGAAAGAGAGGAACUCUAGGCCUUGAAUCUUUGGGCUAUUGGCUUAUAGCUAGUGUGAUGCAUAAUGGGUUUUUCCUUCGCCCUGUGGAGCCAUGCAAUGGUAGUCAAGACCGUUCAUGCGCGUACUUGGUCAUUUAGGUCUCGUUUCUUUAUGUAGCUGCU